GCCAGCAUGGCAUAGUGGUCUGAGUAUCAGAUUACAACUCUGGAGACCAGGGUUUGAAUCCUUGCUCAACCA